GCUCCGAUUGCCUAGUGGUUAAAGCGUCCACCUAAGAUGCGGAAGGUCGUGGGUUCUAUCCCCGGUCGAAACA